rnacentral:rRNA from 1 species
AGACAACUAGGAUGUUGGCUUAGAAGCAGCCAUCAUUUAAAGAGUGCGUAAUAGCUCACUAGUCGAGUGACACUGCGCCGAAAAUGUACCGGGGCUAAACAUAUUACCGAAGCUGUGGAUUGUCCUUUGGACAAUGGUAGGAGAGCGUUCUAAGGGCGUUGAAGCAUGAUCGUAAGGACAUGUGGAGCGCUUAGAAGUGAGAAUGCCGGUGUGAGUAGCGAAAGACGGGUGAGAAUCCCGUCCACCGAUUGACUAAGGUUUCCAGAGGAAGGCUCGUCCGCUCUGGGUUAGUCGGGUCCUAAGCUGAGGCCGACAGGCGUAGGCGAUGGAUAACAGGUUGAUAUUCCUGUACCACCUAUAAUCGUUUUAAUCGAUGGGGGGACGCAGUAGGAUAGGCGAAGCGUGCGAUUGGAUUGCACGUCUAAGCAGUAAGGCUGAGUAUUAGGCAAAUCCGGUACUCGUUAAGGCUGAGCUGUGAUGGGGAGAAGACAUUGUGUCUUCGAGUCGUUGAUUUCACACUGCCGAGAAAAGCCUCUAGAUAGAAAAUAGGUGCCCGUACCGCAAACCGACACAGGUAGUCAAGAUGAGAAUUCUAAGGUGAGCGAGCGAACUCUCGUUAAGGAACUCGGCAAAAUGACCCCGUAACUUCGGGAGAAGGGGUGCUCUUUAGGGUUAACGCCCAGAAGAGCCGCAGUGAAUAGGCCCAAGCGACUGUUUAUCAAAAACACAGGUCUCUGCUAAACCGUAAGGUGAUGUAUAGGGGCUGACGCCUGCCCGGUGCUGGAAGGUUAAGAGGAGUGGUUAGCUUCUGCGAAGCUACGAAUCGAAGCCCCAGUAAACGGCGGCCGUAACUAUAACGGUCCUAAGGUAGCGAAAUUCCUUGUCGGGUAAGUUCCGACCCGCACGAAAGGCGUAACGAUUUGGGCACUGUCUCAACGAGAGACUCGGUGAAAUCAUAGUACCUGUGAAGAUGCAGGUUACCCGCGACAGGACGGAAAGACCCCGUGGAGCUUUACUGUAGCCUGAUAUUGAAAUUCGGCACAGCUUGUACAGGAUAGGUAGGAGCCUUUGAAACGUGAGCGCUAGCUUACGUGGAGGCGCUGGUGGGAUACUACCCUAGCUGUGUUGGCUUUCUAACCCGCACCACUUAUCGUGGUGGGAGACAGUGUCAGGCGGGCAGUUUGACUGGGGCGGUCGCCUCCUAAAAGGUAACGGAGGCGCUCAAAGGUUCCCUCAGAAUGGUUGGAAAUCAUUCAUAGAGUGUAAAGGCAUAAGGGAGCUUGACUGCGAGACCUACAAGUCGAGCAGGGUCGAAAGACGGACUUAGUGAUCCGGUGGUUCCGCAUGGAAGGGCCAUCGCUCAACGGAUAAAAGCUACCCCGGGGAUAACAGGCUUAUCUCCCCCAAGAGUUCACAUCGACGGGGAGGUUUGGCACCUCGAUGUCGGCUCAUCGCAUCCUGGGGCUGUAGUCGGUCCCAAGGGUUGGGCUGUUCGCCCAUUAAAGCGGUACGCGAGCUGGGUUCAGAACGUCGUGAGACAGUUCGGUCCCUAUCCGUCGUGGGCGUAGGAAAUUUGAGAGGAGCUGUCCUUAGUACGAGAGGACCGGGAUGGACAUACCUCUGGUGUACCAGUUGUCGUGCCAACGGCAUAGCUGGGUAGCUAUGUGUGGACGGGAUAAGUGCUGAAAGCAUCUAAGCAUGAAGCCCCCCUCAAGAUGAGAUUUCCCAACUUCGGUUAUAAGAUCCCUCAAAGAUGAUGAGGUUAAUAGGUUCGAGGUGGAAGCAUGGUGACAUGUGGAGCUGACGAAUACUAAUCGAUCGAAGACUUAAUCAA